UACUGUUUUAUCAUAUUUUUUUUAGGUAUUUUCUAUUUUUACCUAUAUAUUUUCAAAUAUAAAACAAUUAUAUUUAUUUAGUACAUAUUCUAUUUUAUUUGUUUACCUAUAAUUUUUCUUGCAAAUAUUCUCAAAUAUCUUUUUUAGAUAUUCUUUUCUCAUUUUCCCCUUUGUGUGCGGUCCGAAGCACAUCGUCAUCCAAUCUUCCGUCAUCCGUUAUGAUCGUCAUCGGCAGCCAACAUAUUGUCGGCCUUCGCCCCUUCCUAUACUACUACUAAUUUCUUAUAUUAUUUUAGUUUUCUUAGUAUGUUGUAGAAUAGUUGGUCCAAUCAAUUACUCUUUAUUUCGUAUGUGUUUAAUCGUUUCCUAAACGUGAAGAUAACAGUGUUUCUCCUUUUAUCAUUUACAUAAAAAUUAAUUAAUUAACCUAAUGAUCUUGCGAUGGAUUAAAGUUAAUGAAUCGGAAUUAGCAUUUGAUCCUUCUUUUAGGACAAGAUAGUGCUAACACAAAUAGCAUAAAAACACUUAUUAUACACUAUUAUUUGGAGGAUGGAUGAAGUGUAAAUCGAAUUAGAUUGAAUUCCUUUAGACAAUGAUUUGAGUGCUACAAAAUGGCAUGAUGGAGAGACGCUAUUGCAAACAAAUUCAGUGUUGUAUUAAGAACGUGUUUUUAGUUAAAUUAUCGAUAAUUAGGAUAAAUAUACUUAUUUAAUAUUUAUUUUUCUGUAGUAUUUCAUAUUAUUUAUGCAGGAUCAAUUUAUUUAGUUUAAAGUUUUACGACGUAAAAAAUUGUGUUCCUAAUACCAUCAUAUUCCAAUCCAUCUAUUCAAAAACUCAAGAAAUAAAAUCAAGCUAAAAAUUUUUAUUUACUUAUAAUGAAUUCUUAUUAAAAUUUUAAUAUUUUUUAUUAUUUUAUCUAUGCUGAUGAAUUUUAUAAUAUUUACUUUUAUCAUUUUUCUUACUUCACGUCAUUUUGUACGAAGGCGAGAGUAGAUGGGUGAAUUUUCAGGUUAGUUAGUGAACGAAUUCUGUUUGUUUUUUUACAUAUUAUCGAUGAUAUAGAUUUUGGUUCUUUCUUUUAUGAUUUAAUGUAAUUCUAUAUCAUAUUCUAAGGUAUUUUAUUUUUAAUGAUUGAAGAUUUAUAUAUCGUAAUCUAUCAAUAUUUAUUUAUAAAAAAAUAUUUUUAGUAUUUGUGCGACGUCAUUGCACGUGCACUUAACUUAGUAUAUGCUAAAACAAGUAUUUCAAAUUUCUGGAUUGGGCGCGCCGCCUCGCGUUUUUGUCGAAUCAGACCUAUUUGGUUUGGCGAGGAAAAAAAAUAAUUAUAUCUUUCUUAUCAAAAAUACAGUAACAUAAUGAAACAAAUUUUAAUUUGCUCUUUAUGAUAGACUUAUUAAAAUUUUUGCCAACCUUAGAAGAUACUCUAGCGUGAUCUUAUAAUUUAAUUCCGAAAUUUAUUUCAUUUUUUUUAUCUCUAAAUAGGAAGGUUGGAGCUUGGGGAAGCCUUUUCCGGCGACGGCGGCGGCUGCCGGCCGCCGGGGUGCAAGCACGGCGUGGGCAGGGUGCCUCCUAGGCGGCUGGUGCACAGGGAGGGCUAGGGUUGGCGGAUUAGGGUUAGGGUUCCAUUGUGAACCCUAAUCCUAAAUAUAUAUACACGUGCAUUUUGCACUUUAGCCCUCCGUAACCUAAUAUUUCCAACCAAGUCCCUGUCCACAGGUAAAAUACGCGCGCAGGACCCUCAGUAUUAGAAAUCUCGCAAUUCGAUCCAUAAAAUGUCGGGUUUCUCGCGAUAAAUUUCAAAUUGCAUUUUGACCCCUUUGCGUUCAUUUCACAAUUCCCGCUAAUCCGUCCAUCGGAUUAUCGAUCGGAUUGCGCCAGUGCGAUCGGCACGACUAGGGCAUCUAAUCUAGCAUCUCGUUUCACCCAAUUUGGUCCCCGAUUCGCGACGCACCCAUUCCUCCAUAAUUCUCCCAAUUUCCACAAAAACCCUAAAAUGGCCACUUUUCCUUAAAAAAAAUCCUUUUUCUCAAUAACCAUGCAUCAGAAUCCGAUUCUGUCAGCGCCAAUGGUUCCAGUAUAGUCGAGAGGUUUGAAAUGAGCUGUUGGAGUCCUAUGUUCGGAGGUCUGUACGCGGCAGAGGCCAAGUUUGCUUCAUGGCUUCUCCGAAAACCGGAGUUACUAUUCACUUAAGUGAACACUAAUAAUCGCGUAACUUCUCCAUUCUAGCUCAUUUUCUCCUGAAACUUGACGAGUGCUUAUGUAAUUAAAUUACACACAUAAACAUCGUCAACAGAGAGUUUAGUUGCACUGUCAAAAUUUCAGUCCUUACACAUUGGCAUGAAAAAAUUAUUAAUAACUAAUUAUUUGGAUGGAUUGAAAUAUGAAUCGAAUUAGAUUGAUCCUUUAGGACAAGAUAGUGCUAACAUACAUUGGCAUGUGGAGAGAUGCUAUUGCAAACAAUUCAGUUGUUGUAUUAAAACAGUGCACGUUAAUAUCGAUAAUUAGGAUAAAUGUACUUUUUAAUAUUUUAUUUUUUCUGUAGUAUUUCAAAUUUAUUUAUCAGGAUCAAUUUAUUUAGCAAAGUUUUGCGUGUAAAAUUGUGCUUAAUCCAUCUAUUCCAAAAACUCAAGAAAUAAAAUCAAGCUAAAAAUUUUUAUUUACUCGUAUGAAUUCUUAUUAAAUUUAUAUUUUUUAUUAAUUUUAUCUAUUCUGAUGAUUUACUAAUAUUUACUUAUUAUUUUUCUUACUUUCAAUGCAAUUUGUAUGGAAGGGUGACAUUUUCAGUUAGUUUAGUGAUGAAUUUUGUGUUUUUUUUUCAAUGAUAUCAUGAUAGAUUUUGUGUUCUUUCUUUGAUGAUAUUGUAAUUCUAUUUCUUAUUUCUGAUAUUUUAUUUUGGUAAUGAUUAAAUAUUAUAUAUCGAAUCUAUAAUAUUUAUUUAUAAAAAUUUUAUUUUUUAGUAUUUGUGCGACGUGCAUUGCACGUGCACUUAACUAUCUAUAUCUAUACUACUUAUAAAAGCAUGAGUUUUGAAUUUUUUUUCUUUCCAAAAAUGCCUCUAUCAUUUUGACUAAUAUUGUCAUGUCCAGUAAUUUUCAACCAUCCAUUUUAAAUAAAUAUUUAAAUAAUAAUUUAUUCGUAAAUAUGGAUUUUAAGUUUUUGCCAUUGGAUCUCAUCCAACGAAUAAAAAUAAAAGUAUCUGUUAUUUUUGUUGACAAAAAUACCCUCCAUAUCCGUUAUCUCCUAUGUACGCCGCGUUUCUUAAAUAUUUUUUUUCUACCCACCAAUCAUUUAAUACGUAAAACUAAAUUUAUCUUUUAUCUAACGUAAUACCCGCCAAUCAUGUAAUACCUCCGCUAAUCACGUAAUACUUAAAAUUAAAUUUAUUUCCUAUCCACACAUUUUUUCAAAUAUUUUUUCUUAUCAAACAUAAUACCUGUCAACACAUAGUAUUCAAAAUUAAAUUUUAAAUUUGUAAUGCCCGCCAAAAUUUAAUACCCGCGAAUUUGAUAAUUUGAAUUUUAAUUUAUGAUAGUAGAUUUUUUCUUACAUAAGAUAGUAAAUUUAAUUUUGACGAGUAUUAAAACUUGGUGCCGCCUAUAAAAACGUUAAUAAUAUUAAAAAAUUUUUAAUACCCUAAAUUAAAACUAAAUCGUAAUUAAAAUAAUUUAAAUUUUUUAGCAAAUAUUCAAUAUUUUAAAUAAUACACACUAAAAUAUUCUUCUACGUUCUCAAAUAUAAAAUAUAUUUAUCUAUUUUAAAUAAAUUAGUCUCAAAUAUAAAUCUUAAGUUUUCGCCAUGGAUCUCAUCCAAUGAAUAAAAAAAAAAAAUAUAUGUUAUUUUUUUGACAAAAAUACAUUUAUAUCCGUUAUCUCCUAUCUACAGUGUUUCUCAAAUAACACUAAAUUUAUAUCUUAUCUAACGGAAUAACUCGGCCAAUCAUGUAACCCUCCGCUAAUUACGUAAUACAUAAAAUUAAAUUUAUUUCCUAUCCAAGCGUUUUUUCAAAGUUUUUUUUUGCAAACGUAAUACCUACCAAUCAAGUAGUAUUCAAAAAUUAUUUUAAAUUUGUAAUGCCCGCCAAAAUUUAAUACCCUGCGAAUUUGAUAAUUUGAAUUUUAAUUCAUGGUAUUAUAUUUUUUCUUAUAUAAGAUAGAUAAUUUAAUUUUACGGUAUUUAAAAUUGCCCGCUGCCAUAGAAGCGUUAAAUAUUGCCAAAAAAUUUUUAAUAUCCCAAAUCAGAACUAAAUCGUUAUAAAUUUAAUUUUAAAUUUUUAGCAAAUAUUCAAUAUUUAAAUAAUGCGUCAUAAAAGUACAAAAUAUUUGCUAAAAAAAUUAAUAUCCUAAUCCAAUCAAAUUAAAUCGAAUAAUUAAAUAAUUUUAAAUUUUUAGUAAAAUAUAUUCUCACGUCUAAAUAAUGUCCACCAAAAUAUUCUCCCGUAUUCUCAAAUAUAGAAUAUAUCUUAAUACCCUUGCAUAUAAUAUCUACACCUACCCAAUCUUAUCUCAUCCAUAAUAUUUAUCACAUAAUAUAUAUAUCAUAUCUUUUUUAUUAGCAUAUUUUUUUGCUAUUUCUCUCAUUUUCAGCUAUACGUUUCUUAUAUAUAAAGUAUAUAUUUUAGUACGUAUCCUUUUAUUUUUUAUUUUUAUCUAUAUUUUUUUCAAAAUUUCUUUAGUAAUAUCUUUCUCAUUUGUACACGGUACAUCGUCACUCGUCCUACUCAUCAUCAUUAUUUGUGCCGUACAUUAUCGCCGUUCACACCUUCGUCAUAAUUAAAGAGUAUUUUAAUUCUAUCUGAAAUUUUUUCUUUUUUUUUUAAUAUGCCUUAUAUACUGUUUUAGUAUUUUUUUUUGUUUUUUCUUAUUUUCAUAUAUAUCGUUUUCAAAUAUAAAGUAUAUAUUUUUUAGUAAUAUAUAUUUUUAUUUUGUAUCCUAUAAUUUUUUAAAUAUUUUAAAUCGGCCCCCGGGGCGUGACACUUUCUCAUUUGUCCCCGUUGUCGACACUGGUACAUCGUCAUCAUUAUCACCGACGCCGACACAUUAUCGCCUUCGCCACCUUCACCGCCUUCGCACAAUUGAAGAGGUAUUUUGAUCCCAUCUGAAAAUUUUUAUUUUUUUAAUAUGUCUUUAUACUGUUUUAGUAUUUUUUUAGUAUUUCUUAUUUUUACUUAUAUAUUUCACAAAUAUAAAGUAUAUUUUUUUAUUAAUAUUUUUUUUUUCAUUUUUACUAUUAUUUUUCUUAAAUAUUUUUAAAUAUUUUUUUAAUAAUAUAUUUUUUUUAUUUAUCUCCGUCGUCGACACCGGUACAUCAUUACAUCACUGGCGUCGGUACAUUUCGCCUUUGCCAUAAUUAGAGAGGUAUUUUGAUUUCAUCUGAAUUAUUUUUUUGUAAUGUGCCUUUAUACUGUUUUAUCAUAUUUUUUUUAGUAUUUUCUCAUUUUUACCUAUAUAUUUUUCAAAUAUAAAACAUAUAUUUAUUUAGUAAUAUUCUUUUUUAUUUUUACCUAUAUUUUUCUCAAAUAUUCUCAAAUAUUUUUUUAGUAAUAUUAUUUCUCAUUUGUCCCCAUUGUCGGUACCAGCACAUCGUCAUCAUCUUCCUCAUCGUUAUAGUCGUCAUCGGCGCCAACAUAUUGUCGCCUUCGCCACCUUCUAUACUACUACUAAUUUCUAUAUUAUUUUAGUUUUCUUAGAUGUUGUAGAAAUAGUUGUCCAAUCAAUUACUCUUUAUUUGUAUGGUGUUAAUCGUUCUAAACGUGAAGAUAAAGUGUUUCUCUUUUUAUCAUUUCACAUAAAAAAAUUUAUUAAUAACUAAUUAUUUGGAUGGAUUAAAGUAUGAAUCGAAUUAGAUUGAUCCUCUAGGACAAGAUAGUGCUAACACACAUUAGCAUGAAAAAAUUAUUAAUAACUAAUUAUUUGGAUGGAUUGAAGUGUAAAUCGAAUUAGAUUGAUCCUUUAGGACAAGAUAGUGCUAACACACAUUGGCAUGUGGAGAGACGCUAUUGCAAACAAUUCAGUUGUUGUAUUAAAACAGUGUACGUUAAUUUCGAUAAUUAGGAUAAAUAUACUUUUUAAUAUUUUAUUUUUUCUGUAGUAUUUCAAAUUUAUUUAUCAGGAUCAAUUUAUUUAGUAAAGUUUUACGAGUAAAAUUGUGCUUAAUCCAUCUAUUCCAAUCCAUCUAUUCCAAAAACUCAAGAAAUAAAAUCAAGCUAAAAAUUUUUAUUUACUUAUAUGAAUUCUUAUUAAAUUUAUAUUUUUUAUUAAUUUUAUCUAUUCUGAUGAUUUACUAAUAUUUACUUAUUAUUUUUCUUACUUUCAGUGCAUUUUGUACGGAAGGGAGACUGAUGGUGACAUUUUCAGUUAGUUUAGUGACGAAUUUUGUGUUUUUUUUUAAUGAUAUCAUGAUAGAUUUUGUGUUCUUUCUUUUAUGAUAUUGUAAUUCUAUUUCCUAUUUCUGGUAUUUUAUUUUGGUAAUGAUUAAGUAUUAUAUAUCGAAUCUAUAAUAUUUAUUUAUAAAAAAAUUAUUUUUUAGUAUUUGUGCGACGUGCAUUGCACGUGCACUUAACUAGUAUAUGUAAAAGCAAGUAUUUCAAAUUUCGGUUUGUCGACAGACCUAUUUUUUGGCGAGAAAAAAAAAUAAUUUAUCUUUCCUUACGUAAAAUAAGUAACAUAAUGAAACAAACUUUUAAUUUCUCUUUAUUUAUAUACUUAUUAAAAUUUUUGCCAACUAAAAGAUAUCUAGCGUGAAUCUAUAAUUUAAUUCGAAAUUUAUUUAAUUUUUUUUUAUCUCUAAAAUAAAAAAAAAAAAUUCAUAAUUAUCCAAAUUUUUGCUAGAGUAUCUACUGAAAAUCUAUAUUUCAAUUCAAAAUUUAAAAUUAAUU
rnacentral:lncRNA from 1 species